rnacentral:rRNA from 1 species
AUGGCCCUGGCCCCAACGAAGCUGCAAGCCCAGCCCACCGGAUCUUCCCCGACCUCUAGAUUCACAGGGUGGGAGGACGACUCGAGCUCGGCCCUUAUCCACAGCGAGAUUUGGCGGGAGGGACAUUUCCGCGCGGCCAUUCCUGCUCCCUCGACCCUCCACCACCAUUGCCCCAUCACCUCCCGCUCUGGUGCAUCUUCCUCGACUGUCCUUCGCCGCCAUGGACGACUCCCUGCCGUCCCCGUCACCGUCGAGGUCGCGCACGCUCAAUCCCCUUGGGCGGAUCUUGUCGCCGGCCAUGUUGGCCCCGCCGUCGCCCAAGGCACCACUGCGCAUGCCCGCAAGCGGCAGGGCAACAUGGUCAUGCAGGGCGGGAAUCCGGCUGCCCCCACCAGAAGGCCCGCGCUCCGGGCGCCGACGCCGCUGCACGAUCUCGGCCGGUGGCGGAGAAGGUCGCUAAGAGGUUCCUCGACGAUGCCGCUCAACGGUGCUGCUCCCACCGCAAGCGAGGUGUUCGACGAAAUGGCCGAAAAGUAUGCCUCUCCGGUCAUGGAAUUUUUCUUUGCUUUUUCGCCAUUUGUGAUGGCUCGUGACUUGUUGCCAUUCACUAUAGCGGUGGUUCGAACAAAUGCAACUAUCGAGUUCGUGAACUUGUUGAACACCAAAGCCGUUGACAUCGAUCAAGCCCCGUUCGCCGCAUUUGAUUACAAUGAAACAAAGGGCGGCGUGGAUGAUCAUGGGGGUGAAGAAGAAGUUGAGGAGAACGAUGAGGGGGCUGCGGUGUCUCUUGAUGCAUGCACGGGUACUUCUCAAACCGCCAAGAGGUGUUGGCAAAGGAUCGGAGAUCAAUACUUCUGCAUGAUGGCAAAGUAUCCCAAUAGGGCUCCACGCACCUUUCGGUCGCUCCAAGGUCGUUGGGACGUGAUCCAGCCUAUUUGCAGCCGUUGGGCAGCUUGCUUGGAGCAAGACAAAAUUGCCCAACAAAGAUACAAAGACAUGGAAGCUUCAGAAGGCAAAUUCUUCAAACUAGAGCGUUGUUGGGAUUUGCUCAAAGAAUGCGAGAAGUGGAAGUUGAUUGACAAAGAAACCCCACUGAAUGCAUCAGCCGAUGAUUUCGGUGCAGGAGUUGGAACAAGCGCCGGAGGGUCUGAGUCGGACCUUAUCCGCGCCAGCCUGCAUAUACACGUUUGUGGGAACUACAAGAUAUUGCGGGACAGCGGCCAGAGAAGAGGAACUGAAAAGGAAAAAAACGGGGAAGAAAAAGGAGGCAAGCAGUGCACAGGUCUAGUGGAAAAUGGCGGAGGCGGCGUGCUCGACCUCGGGCACGUAGCUCACGCGCAGCUCACCGUUCCCCGUCGCGCUCUCCAGAGACCCCGCGCCGCCGCCGGCGACCAGCAGCUCCCCCGUGCGGCGGCUCCGCGUCUCCACCCGUCUCGUUCUCCCGCUAGGGUUUCCCCCGAUCCCCAAUCACUUUUGCAUCUACAAAGAUUAGCUCUGAAAUUCAUGCUGCUGUAUCUGUACUCUCUUUCGAACUUGGAUCCAUAA